AUGACACCGGAUUCUCUAUGUGCUAGGCUCCUUCGAGCUAAAUACUUUCCCAAUGGUAGCUUGGUCGAUACAGUGUUUUCGGGAAACUCCUCGGCAGUAUGGAAAGGAAUAGAGUAUGGCCUGGAACUAGUGAAGAAAGGCAUGUUAUGGCGUGUUGGCAAUGGUGCUAAUAUUCGCGUGUGGAGGGACCCAUGGAUUCCACGUGGACCGCCAUAUACACCCAUUACUCCCAAGAGGAACUGUCGCCUUAACAGAGUGAGUGAUUUCAUAGAUGAUCGGGGUAACUGGAAGAUGGAGCUGGUACAGCGACACUUUUGGCAGCCGGAUGUGGACUCCAUCCUCAAGAUCAGAACAUCUGUGAGGCAACGAGAGGACUUUAUUUCUUGGCCUUGGGAGAAAUCUGGCAUGCUGACAGUUAAAAGUGCUUAUCAUGUGGCGAUGGCGGACCAUUAUGAACAGUUUUGUCCAGGUUCCUCCAUCAAUCACCCAUCAAGUGAUAGAUCUCUAUGGCGUUUAGUGUGGAACGCU
rnacentral:rRNA from 1 species